rnacentral:rRNA from 1 species
UACAGAGGGUGCAAGCGUUGUUCGGAAUUACUGGGCGUAAAGCGCGUGUAGGUGGCGAUGUAAGUCGGGUGUGAAAUCCCUCAGCUUAACUGAGGAAGUGCACUCGAUACUGUGUCGCUUGAGUGUUGGAGGGGAUGGCGGAAUUCCCGGUGUAGAGGUGAAAUUCGUAGAUAUCGGGAGGAACACCUGUGGCGAAGGCGGCUCACUGGACCGGCAUUGACGCUGAGGUGCGAAAGCGUGGGGAGCAAACAGG